AAUAGGGUUAAGGCAACAAAAAAGUGAACUCCAGAAACAUCAAGGAGAGUACUAGUGGGUUUUUUGACAAAUGGGAUAUAACUAGCUUAGAGACCUUGUCCCACCUCAUUUAUUUUAUGUUCUCUAUUAUUAGAACAAUUGUCCUUCAUAAGUGCUUUUCCCUACCUGUUUUCCAAAAACUAUCAGUGGAUCAUAUUUGCUAUGACAUUAAAUGUAACUGUGACUUGGCUUUUAAAGCCUUUCAAAAUCCAGCUCCACCAUGCCUUUCUGAAUUCACUCCCUAAAGCUCCAUAAUCCUGAGUAAAUUCUCAUUUCAAUUGGAAUCAUUUCCAUAAAUAUUCAUUGAGCACCUAGUUAAUCCCAGACACUGUGCUAUGUACUAGGAAUAAAUAAGAUAAAGUCCCUGCCCUAUAGGAGUUCAGGACAUAUCAGGAGAAUUAACACGAAUGUAGCUAUAAUAUAAUCAUAAUAACAACAAUCAUUAACUUUAUUGAGCCCAUUCGUAUAGUCCAGGCACUGUUCUAAGCAUUUCAUAUCAAUGUCUUUAAUCCUCACAACAAACCUAUGAGGUGGUAUCAUCAGUAUCCUCAUUUUAUAGCUGAACCUCGGAGAGGUUGUUUUCCAAGAUCACACAGUUAAUAAAUGAGUAACUGAAUCCAGACAAUCUGGCUACAGAACCUACUUCCUUAACUACUAUUAUUAUAUAGAUAUUGUGAAGAGAGCUGUACUGGAAAUGGAACAAAGGCUACAGGAACAGAAAGGAUGCAAUUCAUUCAGCUUGGGGAUAUGGGAAAUGGUGUCACAGAGACAAUCUUGCUCUAUUCCUUAUUUAUGUAUACCCCUACCUCCUGGAAAGGAAUCAGGACAGCUCACACUGGGAAAGAUUCAGAGCAUACAUACAAAAGCCUUGAGACUGGAAAGAUUAUUUGGAAGAUGGGCAGAAGAGCAGGUCACAAAUAGACUAAGAAAGAGAAGCCAGGUUAACAGGAGGAAUACCAGAUAAGACGGAGGGCUUCCAGAUUUAUUGGUGUGAUAAAUGUAAAAACACUGUCACAGAGUCUGGGGAAGAAAGUCUUUCAAGAAGAAAGGAAUAGUCAAUCACGCAAAAAUACUGCUGAGAGGGGCGAAGCAAGGAGAAGAAAGACAAAAUAUAUGAAUGCUGCCACACACAUCCAUGGUUUGUCAAUGCCCAGCCAUCCUUGGUGUGCAUUCUUAGUGAGUUUCUACUCCAAUUCUUCCUGAGUGAUUACAUUUUCAUCACAUUUCUGAAGGUUUUGCCACUUCUGCCAUCACAAUUUGAAGAGCCUCAGCAGAAACCAUGCAUGUCCUUGAUCUCCUCCUGGGUGAAUUCGGCCCUCCCCAAGCCUGGCUUGUGUGAGGGAGCUCACUUAUUCCUCCAGCCUCUGCCCCCAAGGCAGCUGUGGCAACAGCUCACACGAUGCUGGGACAGGGACAUCACUGAAUUUUUCUGCAGCAAAUUCAAGACCAAAUGGGAAUUUCUGCAUCAAUCAGCAUCCAUUGGGAAUCAACUUGAUGUAAGGCGUUAUGCUAAAUAAGGAAUGCUGAUGUUCCACGUAGACGGGUCUUGUGACUGUACCCCUCAUGCAAGCUUAAACCUGGAUGGCACUCCUCUUAUGGGGAUGUAGUCACCCUGAAGUGUUACAGAAAGGCUGUCUACAGCUGCACCCAUGCUGAGCUCCCAUGGGCGAAGCCUCCGCUGUGUCUGCAGUGGUGGGUGAGAGGAAGAAGAAGUCUCCUUUUCCAAGAUGCUUCAUGAGCCUUGGGGCUGCCUGAAUGUUGGGGUAGAGCUGCAGACUUUCCCCACUGAGCCCAGCAUUCCACUUGUGUCUCUGCUGAAACAUUUUGUAAGCAGAAAGUUCCAGGACUCAAGUCCUACAGACUGGAUUCUGUUAUCCCACAGCAUGCUCCCUUAAUGUGGUGCAUUCUCCCUUCCCUUAGAAGUAGGAAUCCCUGAGAGCUAGACUACUGUGAAUCCUGCUGCUUCUCUGGGUCUAGCUGUGCAGUGGGACUGCCACACUUCAGGCUGGUGCUAGGGGAUGUCCACAAAAGAUCCAGUGAUGUGACCUCUCUUCUAGCCUCCCAGCAGCAGGUACCAGCAACAGCUCUGAUGGUGUUGGAAUGGGAAUGAGGUAGACUCCGUGAGAUUUCCUUCCUUAUAAAUCACCUUAGUGUGUUGGCCUUCUCAAAUGCCAGGUGUACUAGUAACGUACUGGUCAUGUAGACAGAGUGAAGCCUUCCUGGUUAGGCAGGGUGAUGCAGGCUUGGGUAAUAGCUAAGGUUGUGCAAAAGUGUAAUCUCUCCUAGGCACUGUGUUACUGUACCUGCAAAUGUUGUAAUGGCAUGUGUUGGUUGGCCUCCAGCUAGGAGGUGGUGCGUGCUUGCAAAAGAAUGCCAGUUGCAGUGGUACUGGUGGGAUUUGUGCUUGCCUUAUGUUAUCCAGGGGAGGUAUUCUGGUGUCUCAGACAAUGGGUGGAACCAUGGAGCUCUCAAAAGUAUCUGUCCUUUAUACUAAGCUACCGGGGUAGGUAGAGGGACAAAAUCAGGUGGCGCUGGGCCAGGCAAAGCUGUAUCUUAGUUUCCCAUGUACAGGUGCAAGCAGUGGCCCCAGUGGAGAUUGGAGGGCGGUUCCCUGGCUACUGGGGUAAUAAUCCAGGAGGACCAAAGCUGCCUCUGCUGCACAGAAGAAUCUGCACAAGGAGUGGGGAGUAGCAGGCAGCAGUAAGCCCUAUCCAGCUCCCAUGCGCUUGGCAAGGCAGGUCUCACCCAUGCAGUGUUCCACCAGCAGCAGCUAGCUGGGUUGGAGUUAGCCUGCACUCUGAACCCAGAACUGCCCCAGGCUAUAAACCUUCCCUAUCCAGACAGAAACAGGUUUUCCAACUACACUUCUCCUGGUCUGCCUGUGAAACAGCACAAUCAGCUCCUGCACCUGUGGCUAAAGCACACAUACUGCUUGUGCCUCAGUUCUAGACAAGGGGGUUCAUCACCACUCAAAAUUAUAUCACAAAUCUCAGUUGGGAGCUUCUCUCAACCUGUGACCACCACCUGAGUUAGCUGGCUGAUUUCUGCAAGGUCCCCUAUUAGGUAGGAUCAGGAAUGGCUUCCUUCUGUCCCUGCUGGAGUCUGGGAAUGCACAAAAAGCACAUCCCAAUGCUGCUCCUUCUCAUACACUCCCUACCACUUACAAAAUCAGCACUGGGCAGGGUUAAGGCCUCACCCCAUGGCCUGGAUUGCCAGGCCCCACAGUAGGAGUGAAUAUCAUGGAGGCAGCGUCUUCCACCUCAUGCUCUAGGGACUCACAGUUUUCUGCCUGGCUCAUUCAUGGUGUAGGCUGCCGCCUUCUGCUUCUUUCAAAGGGUCUGUAGUUUCUUUCUGUUGUUUUGUUAAGUUCUUGUGUUGCUUCUUUGAAAAAAGUUCACAGCACAAAUCUCUACACACUAUUUUGUCUUUCCAAGGGGAGAGGCAGUCUAACAGUGUCUCCAAUCCACCAUCUUGGAAACAAAAUAUUUUCCUCUUAUUUUUUAAUUAGUUCAGAACUUGAGGGGGAAAAAAAAGAGUGGCACUAUUUUGGGGGGACUCUUCAAGAACUCCAAUUUAAGACUUUGGCAAAUAUUUUCUGAUGAUGAAACUACCAUCUGAUAGAGCAGAGGAAGAGAGCUGUCUAAAGAAUCAUGUAGCCCCAAGAGGAGGCUCUGGAAAGGAAGUGUAUACAGGAAAUGCAGGAAAAAGAAAAUAAGACCAGACUUAUGAUCGUCAUGUAUCUGAAUUAAUCAUUGUUCUGAUUCCUACUUUACUGAUUAGGUAUCAAUAAAGCUGCACAAGGGAAAGC